rnacentral:rRNA from 1 species
GACGAACGCUGGCGGCGUGCUUAACACAUGCAAGUCGAACGGAAAGGCCCUGCUUUUGUGGGGUGCUCGAGUGGCGAACGGGUGAGUAACACGUGAGUAACCUGCCCUUGACUUUGGGAUAACUUCAGGAAACUGGGGCUAAUACCGGAUAGGAGCUCCUGCUGCAUGGUGGGGGUUGGAAAGUUUCGGCGGUUGGGGAUGGACUCGCGGCUUAUCAGCUUGUUGGUGGGGUAGUGGCUUACCAAGGCUUUGACGGUAGCCGGCCUGAGAGGGUGGCCGGCCACAUUGGGACUGAGAUACGGCCCAGACUCCUACGGGAGGCAGCAGUGGGGAAUAUUGCACAAUGGGCGGAAGCCUGAUGCAGCAACGCCGCGUGCGGGAUGACGGCCUUCGGGUUGUAAACCGCUUUCGCCUGUGACGAAGCGUGAGUGACGGUAAUGGGUAAAGAAGCACCGGCUAACUACGUG